rnacentral:rRNA from 1 species
AUACGUAGGUGGCGAGCGUUAUCCGGAUUUACUGGGUGUAAAGGGUGUGUAGGCGGACGUACCAGUCAGAUGUGAAAAGCCACGGCUCAACCGUGGUCCUGCAUUUGAAACUGUACGCCUUGAGAGUGGGAGAGGUAAGCGGAAUUCCCGGUGUAGCGGUGAAAUGCGUAGAGAUCGGGAGGAACACCAGUGGCGAAGGCGGCUUACUGGACCACAACUGACGCUGAGACACGAAAGGGUGGGGAGCAAACAGGAUUAGAUACCCUGGUAGUCCACGCCGUAAACGAUGGAUACUAGGUGUGAGCGUGCAAACGUUCGUGCCGCAGUUAACACAAUAAGUAUUCCACCUGGGGAGUACGGCCGCAAGGUUGAAACUCAAAUGAAUUGACGGGG